rnacentral:siRNA from 1 species
UUAAACGGCCGCAUACGAAAUUGA